rnacentral:misc_RNA from 1 species
AGAAGGAGAAGAGGAAAAGAGAUCUUGGUCAGGCUAGUCGGGGGAAGAAUUAUGUUGAAGAAGAGAAGAGGUUGUUAAGGGAAAGUGGCAUCUACUCUAGUUUUGAUACAUGAUAACUAAUGCUUUGUAGCAAUGCUUCUUGUUGUGCAAAGGAUGUGAAGACUUUGUUAUUAUGCGGCCAAAGCUAUACCUUGUUAGAAAUUAUUUCUAAUGCGUUGCUUGAAUUCCAGUUUUGUUUUCU